GAUGAACGCCGGCGGCGUGCUUAACACAUGCAAGUCGAGCGAGAAGUUUUGAAAAGAUUCUUCGGAUGAAAUUUAAAAUGGAAAGCGGCGGACGGGUGAGUAACGCGUAGGCAACCUGCCCCAUACAAAGGGAUAGCAUUUGGAAACGAAUAUUAAUACCUUAUGAAACUUAACUGGUGCAUGCUAGGUAGGUCAAAGAUUUAUCGGUAUGGGAUGGGCCUGCGUCUGAUUAGCUAGUUGGUGAGGUAACGGCUCACCAAGGCGACGAUCAGUAGCCGACCUGAGAGGGUGAACGGCCACAUUGGAACUGAGACACGGUCCAAACUCCUACGGGAGGCAGCAGUGGGGAAUAUUGCACAAUGGGGGAAACCCUGAUGCAGCAACGCCGCGUGAACGAUGAAGGCCUUUGGGUCGUAAAGUUCUGUUCUAGGUGAUGAAAACUGACAGUAACCUAGGAGAAAGCCCCGGCUAACUCCGUG
rnacentral:rRNA from 1 species